AGAGUGUGAGAGUGAGUGUGUGUGUGUGUGUGUGUGUGUGUGUGUGUGUGUGUGUGUGUGUGUGUGUGUGUGUGUGAGAGUGUGUGAGUGUGUGUGUGUGAGUGUGUGUGUGUGUGAGAGUGUGUGAGUGUGUGUGUGUGUGUGUGUGAGUGUGUGAGUGUGUGAGUGUGUGAGUGAGUGUGUGUGUGUGUGUGUGUGUGUGUGUGAGAGUGUGUGAGUGUGUGUGUGUGAGUGUGUGUGUGUGUGAGAGUGUGUGAGUGUGUGUGUGUGUGUGUGUGUGAGUGUGUGAGUGUGUGAGUGUGUGAGUGAGUGUGUGUGUGUGUGUGUGUGUGUGUGUGAGAGUGUGUGAGUGUGUGUGUGUGAGUGUGAGUGUGAGUGUGUGUGAGUGUGUGUGUGUGAGUGUGAGUGUGAG